rnacentral:rRNA from 1 species
GCAGGCUUAACACAUGCAAGUCGAACGAUAUAGUGGCAGACGGGUGAGUAACGCGUGGAAACGUGCCUUUCACUACGGAAUAGCUUUUGGAAACGAAAGGUAAUACCGUAUACGCCCUCCGGGGGAAAGAUUUAUCGGUGAAAGAUCGGUCCGCGUUAGAUUAGCUAGUUGGUGAGGUAAUGGCUCACCAAGGCGACGAUCUAUAGCUGGUCUGAGAGGAUGAUCAGCCACACUGGGACUGAGACACGGCCCAGACUCCUACGGGAGGCAGCAGUGGGGAAUAUUGCACAAUGGGCGCAAGCCUGAUGCAGCCAUGCCGCGCGAAUGAUGAAGGCCUUAGGGUUGUAAAAUUCUUUCGCUAGGGAUGAUAAUGACAGUACCUAGUAAAGAAGCCCCGGCUAACUUCGUGCCAGCAGCCGCGGUAAUACGAAGGGGGCUAGCGUUGUUCGGAAUUACUGGGCGUAAAGCGCACGUAGGCGGAUUUUUAAGUCAGAUGUGAAAUCCCGAGGCUCAACCUCGGAACUGCAUUUGAAACUGGAAGUCUAGAGAUCAGGAGAGGUUAGUGGAAUACCGAGUGUAGAGGUGAAAUUCGUAGAUAUUCGGUGGAACACCAGUGGCGAAGGCGACUAACUGGACUGAUACUGACGCUGAGGUGCGAAAGUGUGGGGAGCAAACAGGAUUAGAUACCCUGGUAGUCCACACCGUAAACGAUGAGAGCUAGUUGUCUGCAGGCAUGCCUGUAGGUGACGCAGCUAACGCAUUAAGCUCUCCGCCUGGGGAGUACGGCCGCAAGGUUAAAACUCAAAGAAAUUGACGGGGGCCCGCACAAGCGGUGGAGCAUGUGGCUUAAUUCGAAGCAACGCGCAGAACCUUACCUACGCUUGACAUGCCUGGACGACUCCGAGAGAUCGGUUUCUCCCUUCGGGGCCAGUGCACAGGUGCUGCAUGGCUGUCGUCAGCUCGUGUCGUGAGAUGUUGGGUUAAGUCCCGCAACGAGCGCAACCCUCAUCCUUAGUUGCCAUCACGUUUGGGUGGGCACUCUAGGGUAACUGCCGGUGCUAAGCCGGAGGAAGGCGGGGAUGACGUCAAGUCCUCAUGGCCCUUACGCGUAGGGCUACACACGUGCUACAAUGGCAGUGACAAUGGGAUAAUCCCCAAAAGCUGUCUCAGUUCGGAUUGUCGGCUGCAACUCGCCGGCAUGAAGUUGGAAUCGCUAGUAAUCGUGGAUCAGCAUGCCACGGUGAAUACGUUCCCGGGCCUUGUACACACCGCCCGUCACAUCAUGGGAGUUGGUUCUACCCGAAGACUGUGUGCUAACUUCGGGGGCAGCAGGCCACGG